GAGAAAGGGGCGUGUUGUUGACAGAAAAUCACAGCCCUUUUCCUGAAUUUUUUGUCAAAAGUAGCGUGACACAACAUAGUGUAGUUUUGUAUGUACUUGAAGAAAGAAAAGGAGAGAAAGAAGGGGAGAAGUGAGAGAUAGGGAGGGGGUGAAGAGAGAGGUAGAAAUUGAAUAGGAUAUUGAAAAGGUUAUAAUGUUGCCAAAAUAGUUUUCUGUAUAUGUGAAAGAAUCCCUUAAAUUAAUGAAAUGUUUUCGUGCCAGUUGCCAUUUGGUUUUGAUCUGAAUCUCCAAGCCUUUAUAAACUUUUAAUCAAAGCAGUUCUGCUGCCAAGUAAAUGGAACUGGGAAUAUUACGAAUAUUGUUAAAAGUAAAGCUUUGAAUUAUCGAUGUGGAUAUAAAUUCACCGUAUUUUAUACAGUCGAUACAACGCCUGUGUUUUAAUACUAACAUUUGUGUUAAUGUCUUCCAAAGAAGAAUUCAAAAUCCACUUCAUUGCACAAACGUGGUAAAAUUCGUCGCUCGUAAUUUCAAUUUUCUUGAGUUAUAAGAUGUUUAAUAACUGGCACAAUAUCACUGAUAGUUGUAAAUCUGUCACCUUCGUUUAGGUUAGUUUCUAAUUAGUGUGGUUCUCUUGUCUGCUUUUAGAGAAACCCGGCGUCCAAACAGCCAGGUGAUCGGGACAGGUUGAGAUCUCUCGGCGAACGGAAAUCGGGACCUGAAGACGAAAUAACAAACCCUAAAAGUCUUCAAGGAGAUUUUGAACGAUUUCAAACAAAUAUUCAAAAAUUUCAAAGAAACAUUUCACAAUGUGAAGAGAAACAUGACAUGACGCCCAACCAAAGAAGAAAACAUGGAUCAAAGUUUCAUAAUGAGGUGCACUAACCAAAAUGCAAAGCAUUACAUAAAUUGACAGGCAAAACAUCUGGUCAGAAAAGAUGGCAUUUUGAUCAGACCUAUGAUAACUGCGUGACGGUAGAGAACACAGAAAAAGCAGAAGAACCUAAGGAAAAUACUGAAAAUUUUGAUGAGAUGGACACUUUAGAAAACGACGAUUUUGAUAACGAAGACGAUUGUGUUUAAAGAAUAUUUGUUGCGAUAAAUUCUUACUUUUGUUUGUUAAUGCAUACAUAUCCUACACAAGCAAAAUAUACAGAAUAAAGUUGUAGAAGCUGAA
rnacentral:misc_RNA from 1 species